rnacentral:rRNA from 1 species
GGCGGACGGGUGAGGAAUACAUCGGAAUCUACUCUGUCGUGGGGGAUAACGUAGGGAAACUUACGCUAAUACCGCAUACGACCUACGGGUGAAAGCAGGGGAUCUUCGGACCUUGCGCGAUUGAAUGAGCCGAUGUCGGAUUAGCUAGUUGGCGGGGUAAAGGCCCACCAAGGCGACGAUCCGUAGCUGGUCUGAGAGGAUGAUCAGCCACACUUGAACUGAGACACGGUCCAGACUCCUACGGGAGGCAGCAGU